CGUCACACGAGGUCGCCGCUCCCUUGCUCACUGAACUCGUCGUUCGAAAACUUCAAAGAGCAUGCUUAAAGAAUCCUGUUAAGCUCUAUGGUUGGAGCUCUUUUCUCGUGGGCUUGUUUUUUGUAUGCCCAUUUAUUCUUUCAUUUUUGUUCAAUAAGAAGUUUUUGUUUAGAGGAAAGUUUGUAAACUUCACAAAGAUCAUGUCUGAGAGCACAGAAGCGUCAAAGAAGGAAGCAGCAUUUGCCUUGGCCGCACUCAUGGAAAUUCCAUUUCAAUACAGAGCUACCCUCUCCUUGCCAAAUUCUAAGAGAGAAUCUGUAUAUGGAAAAAGUGCGGGGCCACUUCCUCCUCCUCCUGAAGUCAUCAAUUAUGACAAUGCAGUUGCAAACCAAAUUUUGGAGAAUGCAAAAGCUGAAAAACAUAGUUCCUCAUCUGAAUCGGAACAACUAUGUGAAAGAGACCAGGCUAUUCGCAAACUGGAAAGGAAAAUAGAAGAUAUAGAUAGGGAAUUGCAAUCAAUUAAAUUAGACAACGAAGCGAAUGAUCUUCUGCGGGAACAAGAAAAAGAAAUAGCAACUUACCGGUUAUAUAUGAGGUGCAACACGGAAGGGAACCCUUUGAUGUUGAAUUAUAUUCAAUUACAAUUAAUGGGAAUCCAGAUAAUGAUAUUUUGCAACCGCGACACAAUGAUAUUGCUAGACAAAGAGAGGAUCUUCAACAGAUGGAGAUUGAACUCAGAGCACAAGUUAUUGCAAGAUUAGUAAUAUUGGAAAUGCAAAAGAGUUUUGAUGUCAAAUGAAAGAACACAAUAAUGCUGCCAUCAAGAUGGACAACUAUGUGAAAGAGACCAGGCUAUUCCCGAACUGGAAAGGAAAAUAUAAGAUAAAGAUAGGGAAUUGCAAUCAAUUAAAUUAGACAAUGCAGGGCUUGGGCCAAGGAUGAUCUUCUGCGGGAACAAGAUAAAGAAAUAGCAACUUACGGAUUACAUUUUUUGUUGAUGUCCUUCAAAUUUUCCCUUCUUUUGCCAUUGAUUUUACUUUUUGCUUACACUAACAUCCUAAGACAUUCUUUCGUAUUUUAAUUUUAUUGUAGCACAUUAUAUUCAAUUCUCAUUUUUCUUGGCUAUGAUGUAAAUGGUGUUUCUUCUAUUA